GAUGAACGCUGGCGGCGUGCUUAACACAUGCAAGUCGAACGAAGUGGCGAACGGGUGAGUAACGCGUAAUCAACCUGCCCUUCAGAGGGGGACAACAGUUGGAAACGACUGCUAAUACCGCAUACGUACGGAGGGGAUUGCGGUUGAUUCGCUCGUUGGAGGGGUUACGGCCCACCAAGGCGACGAUCCUUAGCUGGUCUGAGAGGAGGAACGGCCACAUUGGGACUGAGACACGGCCCAGACUCCUACGGGAGGCAGCAGUGGGGAAUCUUCCGCAAUGGACGAAAGUCUGACGGAGCAACGCCGCGUGAGUGAUGACGGCCUUCGGGGUGUAAAGCUCUGUUAAUCGGGACGCGGUACCGGAAUAGAAAGCCACGGCUAACUACGUGCCAGCAGCCGCGGUAAUAC
rnacentral:rRNA from 1 species